GGCGUGCCUAAUACAUGCAAGUCGAGCGAACAGAUAAGGAGCUUGCUCCUUUGACGUUAGCGGCGGACGGGUGAGUAACACGUGGGUAACCUACCUAUAAGACUGGGAUAACUUCGGGAAACCGGAGCUAAUACCGGAUAACAUUUGGAACCGCAUGGUUCUAAAGUGAAAGAUGGUUUUGCUAUCACUUAUAGAUGGACCCGCGCCGUAUUAGCUAGUUGGUAAGGUAACGGCUUACCAAGGCGACGAUACGUAGCCGACCUGAGAGGGUGAUCGGCCACACUGGAACUGAGACACGGUCCAGACUCCUACGGGAGGCAGCAGUAGGGAAUCUUCCGCAAUGGGCGAAAGCCUGACGGAGCAACGCCGCGUGAGUGAUGAAGGGUUUCGGCUCGUAAAACUCUGUUAUUAGGGAAGAACAAACGUGUAAGUAACUGUGCACGUCUUGACGGUACCUAAUCAGAAAGCCACGGCUAACUACGUGCCAGCAGCCGCGGUAAUACGUAGGUGGCAAGCGUUAUCCGGAAUUAUUGGGCGUAAAGCGCGCGUAGGCGGUUUCUUAAGUCUGAUGUGAAAGCCCACGGCUCAACCGUGGAGGGUCAUUGGAAACUGGGAAACUUGAGUGCAGAAGAGGAAAGUGGAAUUCCAUGUGUAGCGGUGAAAUGCGCAGAGAUAUGGAGGAACACCAGUGGCGAAGGCGACUUUCUGGUCUGUAACUGACGCUGAUGUGCGAAAGCGUGGGGAUCAAACAGGAUUAGAUACCCUGGUAGUCCACGCCGUAAACGAUGAGUGCUAAGUGUUAGGGGGUUUCCGCCCCUUAGUGCUGCAGCUAACGCAUAA
rnacentral:rRNA from 1 species